UACGUAGGUGGCAAGCGUUGUCCGGAUUUACUGGGCGUAAAGAGCGCGCAGGCGGUCGUUCAAGUCGCGUGUGAAAGCCCCCGGCUCAACUGGGGAGGGUCACGCGAUACUGAUCGACUGGAAGGCAGGGAGAGGGAAGCGGAAUUCCCGGUGUAGUGGUGAAAUGCGUAGAUAUCGGGAGGAACACCAGUCGGCGAAGGCGG
rnacentral:rRNA from 1 species